AUUGAACGCUGGCGGCAUGCCUAACACAUGCACGUCGAGCGGAGCGGCGAACGGGUGAGUAAUGCCUAGGAUUCUGCCAGGUAGUGGGGGAUAACGUCCGGAAACGGACGCUAAUACCGCAUCCUAUCCGAUGGGCCUAGGUCGGAGUAGCUAGGUGGUGGGGUAAAGGCCUACCAAGGGGACGAUCCGUAACUGGUCUGAGAGGAUGAUCAGUCACACUGGAACUGAGACACGGUCCAGACUCCUACGGGAGGCAGCAGUGGGGAAUAUUGGACAAGGGGCGAAAGCAUGAUCCAGCCAUGCCGCGUGUGUGAAGAAGGUCUUCGGAUUGUAAAGCACUUUAAGUUGGGAGGCGUUACCAACAGAAUAAGCACCGGCGAACUUCGUGCCAGCAGCCGCGGUAAUAC
rnacentral:rRNA from 1 species